AACAUUUAUUUGACCAAACAAGAUAUCUAUAUCUUCUAUAAUAUUGUGGUAUUAAUACCAUUGAAAGAGAGAAAUAAAUGCAAGAUCGUUGCCUAAUAUUUAACUAUGACUCUAUAUAGAUACUAGUACUACAUAUAAAUAACGUGAAAUAUAUACCAUUUAUAUAAAAGAGUAAAUGCAUUUAUGUAGAACCAAAAAGAUAUGAAAACAAUAAUGAGAAGAUAUACUUGGAUGCGAGAUCAUUACAUAAGAUGCCAUUGGGCUUCUCUAAUAAAUAGCAGUGAGCGAAUGAAUUGGCAAGACAAAAACACACAGGAAUAGAAGAAGGAAGGAGGAAUAGAAUAGAAGAAGUAAUCUCUUUGUUCUGAUGGCACUCACCAAGAGCACUACAACACGAUCGAAAAUUGUGUGCUCGGUGGUUGUUGCAUUCCUGGUGCUUGCUGUGAUAUCUUCUACCUUGCGAUCCUGCCAUGCACGCACUGGUAUGCAAGACAUCUCCUUAUUUCAAAUUCAUAAAUUUGUUAAUGCUUUGGUACACCAGCUUAGAAAAGUUUACACGAAUGUUAAAACUGCUUUAGAAAGGGUAUUUGUGUACGUUGAUGAUUAACUAAUUAUAACCCCUAUCUUCCUGAUAGCUCAAUGAACAGACCAGAACCAACUGUGUGGCACCCGCUCAAUCUAGAACCAACAAUGGCUAGCCUUCUCUAUGACAACCACUGCUUUUGUGGCCUGCCAAUAUCCCACAAGAAGGACGUAUAUCAUGCCCUCGUAGUCUUCUUGAUUACUGAGCUUGAUGCAUGAUGGAGUGUGUUUCAGUUUUUUCAGUAGCUAGUACGGUAGGUAGAACAGAGCUUGAGCACGAAAUUUGAACUGAAGACCAUUAUAUGGCCCCAAUUACUGUAGGGUAGGAGACUUAAAAGAUCAGAGUUUUCGUAUCAAAUUAGAUCGCUAGCGGGUGGCGGCCGUACGCGAAACCAUUAUGGCGCGACAGGCUUGCAACAAGUCCACCCUCGACAGUGCUAUACCCAUGUCUAUUGCUGCAGCAGCCUGCAGAUCAAACAUUGAAACGAUAUAUUUGGACAUAAAAGACUAUAUACUAGCCUUUUUUGAUUGAAGGGGUAACUCUUAAUGUCCAACUUUGGUCUUCUACGCAAGUUGUGCACUUUUAUAAGGUGGUGUGCAUAAGCAAACCUGUUUCAACCUAUCAAAAAAAAAAUACUGGUUUGAUAAGUGUGUACUACAUGUGUAUUUUGCAGAACCUAAUAAACCGCCGGUGUGCGUGCGGAUGGAUCCGUGUUUCGAGCGCACUACAUGCUGGGAAAUGUGCGUGGAUAUGGGUUUCCUUGUCCCCCAUCCCCGUUGUAAGCGGAGCGUAGAUCAGCUUUGUUGCUGCCUAGACAGGACCCGUAAAGCUCAUUGAUGGUUCUCUUCCUGAGCUAUGCAAUGCUGAAUAAUUGUACGCUUGUGAUGAGCGUGUGCUAAUCUUAAUAAAAAUAUUAAUUUUUUUUCAUAUUGUCUGUUGUCUGUCUUAUGCUCACAAAUAUAAUGAUUAUCAUCUAUUGUUUGUCAUUUUUUUAUUUUGAGAAAGUCUAUUAUCUGUCUUGUGCAUGGAAAAGAUUGUAUAUCUCUGUCCAUGGGUGCAUGUAACUUUCAUUUGCAGACUCAUUUGAGUUAUCAGCAGUGUAUCUAAAGCAACCCAAUUUUUAGACAAUAAAACAUUUCUUUUCCAGAAAAUAGCCCAUUAAAUUGCACUGGUUUCCUAUCACUCAAAUACUGCUCGUCAAAAUGAAAUCUAAUGAACAACACCUCUCUAGGAUCCAUGUGACUACCCUAUAAUCAUACAGAAGAGACACGAGCAGAAUGUGUGGCAUGUCCUUAUUCACAAAUGGAAG
rnacentral:lncRNA from 1 species